CCUACGGGAGGCUGCAGUGAGGAAUAUUGGUCAAUGGACGAGAGUCUGAACCAGCCAAGUAGCGUGAAGGAUGACUGCCCUAUGGGUUGUAAACUUCUUUUAUAUGGGAAUAAAAUGUUCCACGUGUGGGCUUUUGUAUGUACCCUAUGAAUAAGAAUCGGCUAACUCCGUGCCAGCAGCCGCGGUAAUACGGAGGGGCCGAGCGUUAUCCGGAUUUAUUGGGUUUAAAGGGAGCGUAGGUGGAUUGUUAAGUCAGUUGUGAAAGUUUGCGGCUCAACCGUAAAAUUGCAGUUGAAACUGGCAGGCUUGAGUACAGUAGAGGUGGGCGGAAUUCGUGGUGUAGCGGUGAAAUGCUUAGAUAUCACGAAGAACUCCGAUUGCGAAGGCAGCUCACUGGACUGAAACUGACACUGAGGCUCGAAAGUGUGGGGAUCAAACAGGAUUAGAUACCCUUGUAGUC
rnacentral:rRNA from 1 species